rnacentral:siRNA from 1 species
GGCCGGACUGAUGCGCGAUCUUC